rnacentral:rRNA from 1 species
UACGUAGGCAGCGAGCGUUGUUCGGAGUUACUGGGCGUAAAGGGUGUGUAGGCGGUCCUCUAAGUUUGGUGUGAAAUCUCCCGGCUCAACCGGGAGGGUGCGCCGAAAACUGGGGGGCUAGAGUGCGGGAUGGGUAAGUGGAAUUCCUGGUGUAGCGGUGAAAUGCGUAGAUAUCGUUUGGAACGCCAAUGGUGAAAACAGACAGCUGGGAGUGUGCUGACGCUGAGACACGAAAGCCAGGGGAGCGAACGGG